GCUCCAGGUCUUGUCUUCUUCUCUCUAAAACUCUCUCUCAUGCCUUUGUAGUCUAUGGUCUCCCAAUAAUCCUCCGAACUCCCCGGGCUUUAGGUUAAAGCUCAGUAUUUAUAGGCCAAAGGAGUUCUCCAAAAGAGAAAGAAGAAUAAUAAUUAAUUAGGAGUUAGAUGAAUAAUAGGAAAGCCAAAAGGCAAAACCCAAACAGAGGAGGAAAAAAAGAAUAGAGUACGGCUAAGGCAGACUUGGGAAUUAUCCAAGUCAAAAUAGGAAAUUGCUUUGUGGAGAGAUGGGUGCGGCUGAGACUUUGAAAAUAAGGAUUUCCAAGUCAAAAUAGGGAAACUCAUAUUGGGCUGUUUUGGGGCAGAGAAUAUAGGGAAAAGCCGCAGUUGUAGUUGGAGAAAAAUUCUUCCAACUUGAAGAAGGAAACCAGCCUUGUGACAGCUCAACAAAUGACGACAACUCCUCCAAUUUCAGCAAAUGAUUGAUGGCAGCUUCUUCCCAAAAGUGAACAGCAAAUGCAAAGCCGCAAAAUGCUUUCUAAUAUUUCCAGCGACACUUGUCUAGGCCAGGCUUGUGUGCUUCAUCAAAGUAAUCAAGGGAUUCUUCUUCAAAGCCUAUUGCAAUACAAAGAUGGGUUUUGACACCAAAGCUCGACAAAUGCACAAGGCAUAACCUAGCACCUCCAUCAGCUUCAUACCUUUCAGCUCCAAAAAAUGUUGGUAAGUUUCUCCAACUCUAUCUUUCUGGCGCUGGUCAUUGAGACCAGUUGUGGGUAUAAAUUGACACUUGCACAGAUACACUCCAGGUGUUUGAUAAAAUGACAGAAUGAGUUGCUGAGAUUUUGUUGAGUUGAUAAUUCUAUCCAUUUUGGUCCCUUAGGCUUCAAAAAACAUAGUUUUAGCUCCAGAGUCUUGCUAGGAACGAAGGCCUACAAAAUCUUCACUAAACACAUUAAACUAACCAAUUACACAUGAAAACAAUGCAAAAUAGAGAUAGAUUAUAUAUGCAAAAUAU